UAUCUUCAAAACCUUGAGUUUGGCCCC
rnacentral:piRNA from 1 species